CAGCAGCCACGGUAAUACGUAGGGUGCGAGCGUUAAUCGGAUUUACUGGGCGUAAAGCGUGCGCAGGCGGCCCGUUAAGACAGGUGUGAAAUCCCUGGGCUCAACCUAGGAAUUGCGCUUGUGACUGGCGGGCUCGAGUACGGUAGAGGGGGGUGGAAUUCCUGGUGUAGCAGUGAAAUGCGUAGAGAUCAGGAGGAACACCGAUGGCGAAGGCAGCCCCCUGGGCCUGUACUGACGCUCAUGCACGAAAGCGUGGGGAGCAAACAGGAUUAGAUACCCGUGUAGUCCCUGUCUCUUAUAC
rnacentral:rRNA from 1 species